rnacentral:rRNA from 1 species
GAUGAACGCUGGCGGCGUGCUUAACACAUGCAAGUCGAACGAAGAAGGUUAGAAUGAGAGCUUCGGCAGGAUUUCUUUCCAUCUUAGUGGCGGACGGGUGAGUAACGUGUGGGCAACCUGCCCUGUACUGGGGAAUAAUCAUUGGAAACAAUGACUAAUACCGCAUGUGGUUCUCAGAAGGCAUCUUCUGAGGAAGAAAGGAUUUAUUCGGUACAGGAUGGACCCGCGUUGGAUUAGCUAGUUGGCAGGGCAGCGGCCUACCAAGGCGACGAUCCAUAGCCGGCCUGAGAGGGUGAACGGCCACAUUGGGACUGAGACACGGCCCAG